AUGAUAUUAAUUAUCAAAGUUUAAGAGUCAAGUUCGUAAGCCAGAGGUAGGAAAACUCUUGAUCGAUAUCAACAGACUGAAGAAUGGGUCUAGCAGAGAGGUAGAAUAGCACGAAUAUAUCUAGAGGAAAAUCAAGAUAAGUGAGAUUUGGAUUUCAACAAGAAACCUACGAGCAACUGCUUAUGACGCAAACGAAUGACACCUCUGUACUACUCUCGAACGUACUUAUACCUCUUCUGAAGAUAAUGUGUUCAAAAAGAGAACUGCCUUUGGCUGUAAAUAAAGAAAUAUGAAGGAAGCUGUUUACCUGCACCAUGGGUUGACUCGCGUCCCCAGGAUCGUCUAGAACGUGUCGCGGACAUAACUUGCGACAGUGGCCAGCAUCGAUC